GAUGAACGCUGGCGGCGUGCCUAAUACAUGCAAGUCGAGCGAACAGAUGAGGAGCUUGCUCCUCUGACGUUAGCGGCGGACGGGUGAGUAACACGUGGAUAACCUACCUAUAAGACUGGGAUAACUUCGGGAAACCGGAGCUAAUACCGGAUAAUAUAUUGAACCGCAUGGUUCAAUAGUGAAAGACGGUUUUGCUGUCACUUAUAGAUGGAUCCGCGCCGCAUUAGCUAGUUGGUAAGGUAACGGCUUACCAAGGCAACGAUGCGUAGCCGACCUGAGAGGGUGAUCGGCCACACUGGAACUGAGACACGGUCCAGACUCCUACGGGAGGCAGCAGUAGGGAAUCUUCCGCAAUGGGCGAAAGCCUGACGGAGCAACGCCGCGUGAGUGAUGAAGGUCUUGGGAUCGUAAAACUCUGUUAUUAGGGAAGAACAAAUGUGUAAGUAACUAUGCACGUCUUGACGGUACCUAAUCAGAAAGCCACGGCUAACUACGUG
rnacentral:rRNA from 1 species